rnacentral:rRNA from 1 species
AGUGAACGCUGGCGGUAGGCCUAACACAUGCAAGUCGAACGGCAGCACAGAGGAGCUUGCUCCUUGGGUGGCGAGUGGCGGACGGGUGAGGAAUACAUCGGAAUCUACUCUGUCGUGGGGGAUAACGUAGGGAAACUUACGCUAAUACCGCAUACGACCUACGGGUGAAAGCAGGGGACCUUCGGGCCUUGCGCGAUUGGAUGAGCCGAUGUCGGAUUAGCUAGUUGGCGGGGUAAAGGCCCACCAAGGCGACGAUCCGUAGCUGGUCUGAGAGGAUGAGCAGCCACACUGGAACUGAGACACGGUCCAGACUCCUACGGGAGGCAGCAGUGGGGAAUAUUGGACAAUGGGCGCAAGCCUGAUCCAGCCAUACCGCGUGGGUGAAGAAGGCCUUCGGGUUGUAAAGCCCUUUUGUUGGGAAAGAAAUCCAGCUGGCUAAUACCCGGUUGGGAUGACGGUACCCAAAGAAUAAGCACCGGCUAACUUCGUGCCAGCAGCCGCGGUAA